UUCUAAACAAUUUUGGUUUGGAAAUUUUACUGGUGGAAUGAGAAUUCUUAACAUGGAUACAAGAGGCCAAAUAUUUGGGCUAUAAUGCACCAAAAAGAAAAAAAUUUGAGCUAUAAGUGGUGUUAACCCUCAAGAUUUUCAACCUUUAAGAAUUUUUUCUACGCAAAAAUCCUAGCUUCAUGAGUUCAUAAUGUAAAUAGAUCUAUGCCUAUCUUGGCAAGACUUCGCUCCCUUAUCUCUCUCUCUA
rnacentral:lncRNA from 1 species